UACGAAGGGGGCUAGCGUUGUUCGGAAUUACUGGGCGUAAAGCGCACGUAGGCGGAUAUUUAAGUCAGGGGUGAAAUCCCAGAGCUCAACUCUGGAACUGCCUUUGAUACUGGGUAUCUUGAGUAUGGAAGAGGUGAGUGGAAUUCCGAGUGUAGAGGUGAAAUUCGUAGAUAUAGGAAGGAACACCAGUGGCGAAGGCGGCUCACUGGUCCAUUACUGACGCUGAGGUGCGAAAGCGUGGGGAGCAAACAGG
rnacentral:rRNA from 1 species